AGACCCGAAACCCGGUGAUCUAGCCAUGGGCAGGUUGAAGGUUGGGUAACACUAACUGGAGGACCGAACCGACUAAUGUUGAAAAAUUAGCGGAUGACCUGUGGCUGGGGGUGAAAGGCCAAUCAAACCGGGAGAUAGCUGGUUCUCCCCGAAAGCUAUUUAGGUAGCGCCUCGUGAAUUCAUCUCCGGGGGUAGAGCACUGUUUCGGCUAGGGGGCCAUCCCGGCUUACCAACCCGAUGCAAACUGCGAAUACCGGAGAAUGUUAUCACGGGAGACACACGGCGGGUGCUAACGUCCGUCGUGAAGAGGGAAACAACCCAGACCGCCAGCUAAGGUCCCAAAGUCAUGGUUAAGUGGGAAACGAUGUGGGAAGGCCCAGACAGCCAGGAUGUUGGCUUAGAAGCAGCCAUCAUUUAAAGAAAGCGUAAUAGCUCACUGGUCGAGUCGGCCUGCGCGGAAGAUGUAACGGGGCUAAACCAUGCACCGAAGCUGCGGCAGCGACGCUGAUGCGUUGUUGGGUAGGGGAGCGUUCUGUAAGCCUGUGAAGGUGGCCUGUGAGGGUUGCUGGAGGUAUCAGAAGUGCGAAUGCUGACAUAAGUAACGAUAAAGCGGGUGAAAAGCCCGCUCGCCGGAAGACCAAGGGUUCCUGUCCAACGUUAAUCGGGGCAGGGUGAGUCGACCCCUAAGGCGAGGCCGAAAGGCGUAGUCGAUGGGAAACGGGUUAAUAUUCCCGUACUUGGUGUUACUGCGAAGGGGGGACGGAGAAGGCUAUGUUGGCCGGGCGACGGUUGUCCCGGUUUAAGCGUGUAGGCUGGUUUUCCAGGCAAAUCCGGAAAAUCAAGGCUGAGGCGUGAUGACGAGGCACUACGGUGCUGAAGCAACAAAUGCCCUGCUUCCAGGAAAAGCCUCUAAGCAUCAGGUAACAU
rnacentral:rRNA from 1 species